GAUCCUGGCUCAGAUUGAACGCUGGCGGCAGGCCUAACACAUGCAAGUCGAACGGUAACAGGAAGAAGCUUGCUUCUUUGCUGACGAGUGGCGGACGGGUGAGUAAUGUCUGGGAAACUGCCUGAUGGAGGGGGAUAACUACUGGAAACGGUAGCUAAUACCGCAUAACGUCGCAAGACCAAAAAAGGGGGGACCUUCGGGCCUCUUGCCAUCGGAUGUGCCCAGAUGGGAUUAGCUAGUAGGUGGGGUAACGG
rnacentral:rRNA from 1 species